GUUGGUCAGUAAGCAGAGGGAGGUUUUGUGUUGCUGGUGGAGUGUCUAAUGGCUGCUGUGCAUUGGUCAGCAAGUGGUAACAGUGCCUGAGGAGAUACAUUAAGGGAAAACAGAAGGCUCCUCUUCCUCAUCUCUAACGUGUUUGGCUGCAGACACCACUAGAGAAAUAUAAACUAGCUGAGCCAAACUCUUCCUACAACACAGGGAGAUGCUUGGUGACCCUGUCUUCUCUGUUCCUGCCUUGGUUAGCAGUACGCUACGAAGGAACAAUACGGUACAAGAGAUUCAAGAAAGAUCUUCAGAAAACAUGAUUGACUUAUGUAUCUGAUAUAAAAUAGUAAACUGAGAAUGCUGGCUGGUGAAAACAGCAAAACAAAAGCACUUUUUCAAAUGAAUGAAAUUCAGCUGACAAAUGCUGAUGUGUGAUUGUGCCCCCUACCCCCUCUUUUUUUAAAAAUUCAUUAAGAGAUGUAAGCUUGCUCUGUUUCUUCUCAGUAGUAGGCUACUUCACAAAACAAAUACCAAAAAAGGAAAUCCAGAAAUGAAAGGCAUCCUCGGCUUCUUAGUCGUUGUUCAAACUGUGCUUUAAAAAUGGGCUGUUAAACACUAUUGUGAAAAAAAAGUAGAUAAUAUGGUUUUGUUUUUUACAUAAAACAGAGUGAAGCAGGUGCAGCUCUUAGCUGUCCAUAAAAGGCCAAAGCUAAUUCUGCCUUCACCUGGAAGAAUUCAUAAAGAACAGAGUAAUAUGAAAAGAAUUUCUGUUUGUAUCUGAGGAAUGCAUAACUGGAAAUAAUGUGAGCAGUUCCUUGACAGUUCAUAUUGUACUUAGAAAAUAUGAUAAUAAUUUCUACAGUCUCUUCAGCCUGGCUUUUAUAAAAGCUUCCUGAAUGCUUCAAACAGAAACAUGUUUAGGAACCAAAUAUUUGUUCAGUUGUACUGUUUAUGCCAAUUGAUUUACUAUCAUAAUCUUAUUCAUGAAUUUCAUGUUGCCAAUUUUUAUUUAUUUUUUUAGUCCACCAAUUUUUGAAGCAUUUCCUUGGACAAAGAAAAAAAAUUCAAAAGUUUGCUAGUGGGUAUUAAUUUUCAUUCCCAGCCUGAAAAUUGCUUCCAUUUGAGCAUUUAUUCUCUGGUAUUUGUAGCCAUGAUGAUUUCACGGAGAAUAAAAUUAAAAGCAACUUCAGUUAUCUUCCUGUAUUUUCAUGAACAUGAAACAUGCAGAUAUUCACAAAUGCGAAUUUUGCAGGAAUCCAAUCUCUCCUACCUGCCAGGAGAGCUCAUCUAUAAGCUUGUAUGAUUAUGCCUUUGGAAGAAUGGAGAGAGAGCAAAUAUUCUGACUUCACUGGGACUAAGUCUA